GCAGCCAUCCUUUAAAGAAAGCGUAAUAGCUCACUGAUCUAAAUAAGACGUCCUGCGCCGAAGAUGUAACGGGGCUAAAGCCAUAUACCGAAGUUACGGGAUUGUAUUGCAAUAGAUACAAUCGGUAGCGGAGCGUUCUGUAGGCCUGCGAAGGUGAACCGUAAGGUUUGCUGGAGGUAUCAGAAGUGAGAAUGCUGACAUGAGUAGCGAAAAGAAGAGUGAGAGACUCUUCCGCUGAAAGUCCAAGGUUUCCUGCGUAAAGCUAAUCUGCGCAGGGUUAGUCGGCCCCUAAGGCGAGGCAGAGAUGCGUAGCUGAUGGGAACACGGUUAAUAUUCCGUGACCAGUUAGGAAGUGACGGAUACAGUAGUUUGUACAUGCUUAAUGGAUUGUGUGUGCAAGUGAUGUGUCCCGGGAAAUAGCCCUAACGAAGACCGUACCCGAAACCGACACAGGUGGACAGGUAGAGUAUACCAAAGCGCUUGAGAGAACUAUGUUGAAGGAACUAGGCAAAAUACUUGCGUAACUUCGGGAUAAGCAAGCCCGGUUUUAAGGCAACUUAAGGCCGGGGGCACAUACUAGGGGGUAGCGACUGUUUAACAAAAACACAGGACUCUGCGAAAUUGAAAGAUGAAGUAUAGGGUCUGACGCCUGCCCGGUGCCGGAAGGUUAAGGAGAGAUGUGAGAGCAUUGAACUGAAGCCCCGGUAAACGGCGGCCGUAACUAUAACGGUCCUAAGGUAGCGAAAUUCCUUGUCGGGUAAGUUCCGACCUGCACGAAUGGCGUAACGACUUCCCCGCUGUCUCCAACAUAGGCUCAGCGAAAUUGAACUCUGAGUUAAGAUGCUCAGUACCCGCGGUUAGACGGAAAGACCCCGUGAACCUUUACUAUAGCUUUGCAGUGGUAUUAGGUAAGACAUGUGUAGGAUAGGUGGGAUGCUAUGAAGGUAGGACGCUAGUUUUACUGGAGCAGACGUUGAAAUACCACCCUUGUGUUAUUUGAUAUCUAACCUACUUCCGUAAACCGGAAGAGGGACCCUGCAUGGUGGGUAGUUUGACUGGGGCGGUCGCCUCCCAAAGAGUAACGGAGGCGCGCGAAGGUUGGCUCAGAUUGGUCGGAAAUCAAUCGUUGAGUGCAAUGGCAUAAGCCAGCCUGACUGCGAGAGCGACGGUUCGAGCAGAGACGAAAGUCGGUCAUAGUGAUCCGGUGGUCCC
rnacentral:rRNA from 1 species